UGUGUAGAGAGAUAAAAUAUGUACAAGGUUUCCGUAGGUGAACCUGCGGAAGGAUCAUUA
rnacentral:rRNA from 1 species